GGGGGGCCGGCCCUGCAAAUGCGGCACAGGACGGCGUGUCUUCUCGGAGUGUUUCAAGGCCCGCGUCGCUCAGCUGCUGGUAGUAACGGAAGUCGAGCUGCAGGUGCUGAAGCAGAUGGCAUAGCCGCAGGGCGGAAUGCAAGCAAUGCAAAGCCU
rnacentral:SRP_RNA from 14 species